rnacentral:snRNA from 1 species
UUACUUACCUGGACGGGUAGAUGAGUGAUCAUUAAGGCUCAUGGACUAGAUUGGCGACCUCCAUUGCACUUUGGAGGGGCGCUCGUCUAAGGUCGGCCCAAGUGGUCGAGCCUACGUCAUAAUUUAUGAUAGAGGGGGCAUGCGUUCGCGCGACCCCCAC